UCAGUGUGUGUGUUAGUGGAAGCGUCUGGAAAGGCGCGCGAUACAGGGUGACAGCCCCGUACACAAAAAUGCACAUGCUGUGAGCUCGAUGAGUAGGGCGGGACACGUGGUAUCCUGUCUGAAUAUGGGGGGACCAUCCUCCAAGGCUAAAUACUCCUGACUGACCGAUAGUGAACCAGUACCGUGAGGGAAAGGCGAAAAGAACCCCGGCGAGGGGAGUGAAAAAGAACCUGAAACCGUGUACGUACAAGCAGUGGGAGCACGCUUAGGCGUGUGACUGCGUACCUUUUGUAUAAUGGGUCAGCGACUUAUAUUCUGUAGCAAGGUUAACCGAAUAGGGGAGCCGAAGGGAAACCGAGUCUUAACUGGGCGUUAAGUUGCAGGGUAUAGACCCGAAACCCGGUGAUCUAGCCAUGGGCAGGUUGAAGGUUGGGUAACACUAACUGGAGGACCGAACCGACUAAUGUUGAAAAAUUAGCGGAUGACUUGUGGCUGGGGGUGAAAGGCCAAUCAAACCGGGAGAUAGCUGGUUCUCCCCGAAAGCUAUUUAGGUAGCGCCUCGUGAAUUCAUCUCCGGGGGUAGAGCACUGUUUCGGCAAGGGGGUCAUCCCGACUUACCAACCCGAUGCAAACUGCGAAUACCGGAGAAUGUUAUCACGGGAGACACACGGCGGGUGCUAACGUCCGUCGUGAAGAGGGAAACAACCCAGACCGCCAGCUAAGGUCCCAAAGUCAUGGUUAAGUGGGAAACGAUGUGGGAAGGCCCAGACAGCCAGGAUGUUGGCUUAGAAGCAGCCAUCAUUUAAAGAAAGCGUAAUAGCUCACUGGUCGAGUCGGCCUGCGCGGAAGAUGUAACGGGGCUAAACCAUGCACCGAAGCUGCGGCAGCGACGCUUAUGCGUUGUUGGGUAGGGGAGCGUUCUGUAAGCCUGCGAAGGUGUGCUGUGAGGCAUGCUGGAG
rnacentral:rRNA from 1 species